rnacentral:rRNA from 1 species
GUGGGGAAUAUUGCGCAAUGGGGGCAACCCUGACGCAGCAAUACCGCGUGAGUGAAGAAGGUUUUCGGAUCGUAAAACUCUUUUAUUGGGGAAGAAGAAGUGACGGUACCCAAUGAAGAAGUCCCGGCUAACUACGUGCCAGCAGCCGCGGUAAUACGUAGGGGACAAGCGUUGUCCGGAAUCACUGGGCGUAAAGGGCGCGUAGGCGGUUUUAUAAGUCAGAUGUGAAAGGUACCGGCUCAACCGGUGACGUGCAUUUGAAACUGUAAGACUUGAGUACUGGAGAGGCAAGUGGAAUUCCUAGUGUAGCGGUGAAAUGCGUAGAUAUUAGGAGGAACACCGGUGGCGAAGGCGGCUUGCUGGACAGAUACUGACGCUGAGGUGCGAAAGCGUGGGGAGCGAACAGGAUUAGAUACCCUAGUAGUCC